CAGUGGCAUCAAUCUCAGGCACACUGACAUAGCUUGUAUAUCUUAAAUGUGUGCAGCUUACAGCAUAUAGAGCCUGAACACCUAUCUUCUAUAAGACCAUACCCCAUGUAUAAAUCCUGUUAAUUUAAGAUACAUCCCAAGCUGCAAUAGAAAUGUAAAAGUCUGUGCCUAGACACUGUCAGUGUUUUAAAAUUUUGAUCAAGCUUGUUUAGUACCUGCUAGUAGUUCUAUCAUUUCUCUCUGGUUUCAAGCGCAGACCUAUGAUUUAGCCUGUUUACUUAAAACAUAAAAAAUGUGCAGUUCUUAACUUGCCAUGACACUGUAUUAACUUGUGACCUUGCAAUAAGCUUGCCAAUGUCGUUGUGGCAUCACAAGCCGGUAUGUUAUUCCGUGCACUAAGAAAAUAAAGAUUUUUUUAAAAAAAAGAAGAGGAUGGUGGAAUGAAUUAACUCUGGAUGGAAUUCACUGACGAUAUUAAUACUGUUGAUAUGAACAACAGAAUUGAGGAAGUCAUGAAGAAACUGUAAGUCCAUUUUACGUAAGCACCCACGCAUACUGCAC